CGUCAGGAUGAACGCUAGCGACAGGCCUAACACAUGCAAGUCGAGGGGCAGCGCGGAGUAGCAAGUACUUGGCGGCGACCGGCGCACGGGUGAGUAACACGUAUGCAACCAACCCAGUAACAGGGGGGAUAACCCGGAGAAAUCCGGACUAAUACCGCAUAAGACCACGAUAUCGCAUGAUAUAGAGGUCAAAUAUUUAUAGGUUAUGGACGGGCAUGCGUCUGAUUAGCUGGUUGGCGGGGUAACGGCCCACCAAGGCAUCGAUCAGUAGGGGUUCUGAGAGGAAGGUCCCCCACAUUGGAACUGAGACACGGUCCAAACUCCUACGGGAGGCAGCAGUGAGGAAUAUUGGGUCAAUGGGCGAAAGCCUGAACCAGCCAUGUCGCGUGAAAGGAUGAGGGCCCUAUGGAUUGUAAACUUCUUUUGCAGGAGGGUAAAGUGAGCUACGUGUAGUUCAUUGCAAGUACCCUGCGAAUAAGCAUCGGCUAACUCCGUGCCAGCCGCCGC
rnacentral:rRNA from 1 species